GCCGGAUACAGCCUGAUGCGGGGGAAGGUUUGGCCAAACGAUAUGGGAGGCCUAGAACUUUCCUCAGCUCACAGAGGCAGUAGUGGCCCUGCCAGGGCUUGACCCAAGCUGUCUGAUUCUACAGAUCAGCCUGGACCCACCAGACCCUGGUGACUCCCCAUCACUUACACACCAGUGCACCUUUCCAAGCCAGUGUGACCUCCAACUAGUGCC